GUUGUUUCGUAUGCCUCGCGACAACUAAAACCUCACGAGUUGAAUUAUGCCACGCAUGAUUUGGAGCUAGCAGCCGUAGUGCAUGCGUUGAGGACUUGGAGGCAUUACCUUAUUGGAAACCAUUGUGAUGUGUACACGGAUCAUAAGAGUUUGAAGUACAUUUUCACACAAAAGGAGCUGAACCUUAGGCAGAGGAGAUGGUUGGAGCUUAUAAAGGAUUAUGACAUGAAGCUGCACUAUCAUCCAGGAAAGGCCAAUGUCGUAGCAGACGCUUUGAGCCGGAAGAGUUAUGCUAAUAUCCUUGCGAGUAAGGGAGUGCCAAAGGAGUUAGCAGAGGAUAUCAUGGAACUUCGAUUAGAGAUUGUCCCAAGAGGUUUUGUUACAACAAUGGAGGUUUAG
rnacentral:rRNA from 1 species